UGAGGCAGGAGAAUCGCUUGAACCCAGGAGGCGGCGGUUGCGGUAAACCGAGAUUGUGUCACUGCACUCCAGCCUGAGCAACAAAAGCAAAACUCUGUCUCAAAAAAAA